AGAGUUUGAUCCUGGCUCAGGAUGAACGCUGGCGGCGUGCCUAAUACAUGCAAGUCGAACGCUUCACUUCGGUGAAGAGUGGCGAACGGGUGAGUAAUACAUAAGUAACCUGGCAUCUACAGGGGGAUAACUGAUGGAAACGUCAGCUAAGACCGCAUAGGUGUAGAGAUCGCAUGAACUCUAUAUGAAAAGUGCUACGGGACUGGUAGAUGAUGGACUUAUGGCGCAUUAGCUUGUUGGUAGGGUAACGGCCUACCAAGGCGACGAUGCGUAGCCGACCUGAGAGGGUGACCGGCCACACUGGGACUGAGACACGGCCCAGACUCCUACGGGAGGCAGCAGUAGGGAAUUUUCGGCAAUGGGGGAAACCCUGACCGAGCAACGCCGCGUGAAGGAAGAAGUAAUUCGUUAUGUAAACUUCUGUCAUAGAGGAAGAACGGUGGAUAUAGGGAAUGAUAUCCAAGUGACGGUACUCUAUAAGAAAGCCACGGCUAACUACGUGCCAGCAGCCGCGGUAAUACGUAGGUGGCGAGCGUUAUCCGGAAUUAUUGGGCGUAAAGAGGGAGCAGGCGGCACUAAGGGUCUGUGGUGAAAGAUCGAAGCUUAACUUCGGUAAGCCAUGGAAACCGUAGAGCUAGAGUGUGUGAGAGGAUCGUGGAAUUCCAUGUGUAGCGGUGAAAUGCGUAGAUAUAUGGAGGAACACCAGUGGCGAAGGCGACGAUCUGGCGCAUAACUGACGCUCAGUCCCGAAAGCGUGGGGAGCAAAUAGGAUUAGAUACCCUAGUAGUCCACGCCGUAAACGAUGAGUACUAAGUGUUGGGUGUCAAAGCUCAGUGCUGCAGUUAACGCAAUAAGUACUCCGCCUGAGUAGUACGUUCGCAAGAAUGAAACUCAAAGGAAUUGACGGGGGCCCGCACAAGCGGUGGAGCAUGUGGUUUAAUUCGAAGCAACGCGAAGAACCUUACCAAGUCUUGACAUCCCUCUGACCGAUCCGUAACGGGACCUUUCCUUCGGGACAGGGGAGACAGGUGGUGCAUGGUUGUCGUCAGCUCGUGUCGUGAGAUGUUGGGUUAAGUCCCGCAACGAGCGCAACCCCUGUUGCCAGUUGCCAGCAUUAAGUUGGGGACUCUGGCGAGACUGCCGGUGACAAGCCGGAGGAAGGCGGGGAUGACGUCAAAUCAUCAUGCCCCUUAUGACCUGGGCUACACACGUGCUACAAUGGACAGAGCAGAGGGAAGCGAAGCCGCGAGGUGGAGCGAAACCCAUAAAACUGUUCUCAGUUCGGACUGCAGUCUGCAACUCGACUGCACGAAGAUGGAAUCGCUAGUAAUCGCGAAUCAGCAUGUCGCGGUGAAUACGUUCUCGGGCCUUGUACACACCGCCCGUCACACCAUGAGAGUCGGUAACACCCGAAGCCGGUGGCCUAACCGCAAGGAAGGAGCUGUCUAAGGUGGGACUGAUGAUUGGGGUGAAGUCGUAACAAGGUAUCCCUACGGGAACGUGGGGAUG
rnacentral:rRNA from 1 species